AUGUCCGUUUCUUGGCCGGCGCCGUCGACGUGCGCGGCCGCCGGGGCCCUGCUGGCCGCCGCAUGGCUGCUGUGCUUCAGGCUGCUCCCGGCCGCGGCCAGGCCGAGAAGGCGGGCGAUGAAGACAGAGGCGCAGCUCCCUCCCGGCAGCUUCGGGUGGCCGGUCGUCGGCGAGACGCUGGACUUCGUCUCCUGCGCCUACUCCCCGCGCCCCGAGGCGUUCGUGGACAAGCGCCGCCUCCGGUACGGCGGCGCGGUGUUCCGGUCGCACCUGUUCGGGUCGGCGACGGUGGUGACGGCGGACGCGGAGGUGAACCGGUUCGUGCUGCAGAGCGACGCGCGGUCGUUCGUGCCGUGGUACCCGCGGUCGCUGACGGAGCUCAUGGGCAAGUCCUCCAUCCUGCUCAUCAACGGCAGCCUGCAGCGCCGCGUCCACGGCCUCGUCGGCGCCUUCUUCAAGUCGCCGCAGCUCAAGGCGCAGGUCACCGCCGACAUGCAGCGCCGCCUCGCCCCCGCGCUCGCCUCCUGGCGCCACCAGGGCCCCGGCGCCCGCCUCCGCAUCCAGGACCACGCCAAGACGAUAGUGUUCCCGAUCCUGGUGCGGGGUCUGAUCGGGCUGGAGGCAGGCCCAGAGAUGCAGCAGCUCAAGCAGCAAUUCCAGGAAUUUAUUGUCGGACUCAUGUCCCUUCCCAUUAAGCUGCCAGGGACUAGGCUCUACAGAUCCCUCCAGGCCAAGAAGAGGAUGGCCAGGGUGAUACAGAGGAUCAUACAGGAGAAGAGGAGGAGGAGGGCCCUCGACGGCGGCGGCGGGCCGAGGGACGCCAUCGACGUGCUCAUGGGCGACGGCAGCGAGGAGCUCACCGACGAGCUCAUAUCCGACAACAUGAUCGACUUCAUGAUCCCCGCCGAGGACUCCGUGCCAGUGCUCAUCACGCUCGCCGUCAAGUUCCUCAGCGAGUGCCCCCUCGCCCUGCAGCAGCUCGAGGAGGAGAACAUGGAGCUCAAGAUGAGGAAAACCGACCUGGGUGAAACCUUGCAAUGGACUGACUACAUGUCCUUGUCAUUCACGCAGCAUGUGAUAACGGAGACGCUGCGGAUCGGGAACAUCAUCAGCGGGAUCAUGCGCAAGGCGGUCCGCGACGUCGAGGUGAAGGGGCAUCUCAUCCCCAAAGGAUGGCGCGUGUUCAUGUACUUCCGGUCGGUCCACCUCGACGACAUGCUCUACGAGGAUCCCUGCAAGUUCAAUCCAUGGAGGUGGAAGGAGAAGGACAUGAGCACUAGCAGCUUCACCCCUUUUGGCGGUGGGCAGAGGCUGUGCCCGGGCCUGGAUCUGGCCAGGCUGGAAGCUUCCAUCUUUCUCCACCACUUGGUCACCAGCUUCAGGUGGGUGGCCGAGGAGGACCACAUCGUCAACUUCCCCACCGUGCGCCUCAAGGGAGGCAUGCCCAUCAGGGUCACCGCCAAAGACUAG
rnacentral:rRNA from 1 species